GUCGAGCGAACAGACGAGGAGCUUGCUCCUUUGACGUUAGCGGCGGACGGGUGAGUAACACGUAGGUAACCUACCUAUAAGACUGGGAUAACUUCGGGAAACCGGAGCUAAUACCGGAUAAUAUUUCGAACCGCAUGGUUCGAUAGUGAAAGAUGGCUUUGCUAUCACUUAUAGAUGGACCUGCGCCGUAUUAGCUAGUUGGUAAGGUAACGGCUUACCAAGGCAACGAUACGUAGCCGACCUGAGAGGGUGAUCGGCCACACUGGAACUGAGACACGGUCCAGACUCCUACGGGAGGCAGCAGUAGGGAAUCUU
rnacentral:rRNA from 1 species